GGAUUCCCCGAGUAGCUGCGAGCNAAAAGGGAAGAGCUCAGCACGCAGGGGUGGCGCACUACCCGCGUCUACCCGGUUCCGUGUACUGGAAAUUUUGUCAUCUGCCAUGCCCGGCGCAGUGUCCAAGUUCAACUAGAAUGUGGCUUUUACUCCCAUAGAGGGUGAUAGGCCCGUAGGACGGCGCUGAUGGUGGAAAAUUUUUCCAUGGAGUCGUGUUGCUUGAUAGUGCAGCACAAAGUGGGAGGUAAACUCCUUCUAAAGCUAAAUAUCACC
rnacentral:rRNA from 1 species